CCUACGGGAGGCAGCAGUAGGGAAUAUUGCUCAAUGGGGGAAACCCUGAAGCAGCAACGCCGCGUGGAGGAUGAAGGUUUUCGGAUUGUAAACUCCUUUUGUUAGAGAAGAUAAUGACGGUAUCUAACGAAUAAGCACCGGCUAACUCCGUGCCAGCAGCCGCGGUAAUACGGAGGGUGCAAGCGUUACUCGGAAUCACUGGGCGUAAAGAGCGCGUAGGCGGGAUAGCAAGUCAGAUGUGAAAUCCUAUGGCUUAACCAUAGUACUGCAUUUGAAACUGUUAUUCUAGAGUAUGGGAGAGGUAGGUGGAAUUCUUGGUGUAGGGGUAAAAUGCGUAGAGAUCAAGAGGAAUACUCAUUGCGAAGGCGACCUGCUAGAACAUAACUGACGCUGAGGCGCGAAAGCGUGGGGAGCAAACAGGAUUAGAUACCCGAGUAGUC
rnacentral:rRNA from 1 species